rnacentral:rRNA from 1 species
UGGGGAAUAUUGCACAAUGGGGGAAACCCUGAUGCAGCGACGCCGCGUGAGCGAAGAAGGCCUUCGGGUCGUAAAGCUCUGUCCUAUGAGAAGAUAAUGACGGUAUCAUAGGAGGAAGCCCUGGCUAAAUACGUGCCAGCAGCCGCGGUAAUACGUAUGGGGCGAGCGUUGUCCGGAAUUAUUGGGCGUAAAGGGUACGUAGGUGGUUUUUUAAGUCAGGUGUCAAAGCGUGGAGCUUAACUCCAUUAAGCACUUGAAACUGAAAGACUUGAGUGAAGGAGAGGAAAGUGGAAUUCCUAGGGUAGCGGUGAAAUGCGUAGAUAUUAGGAGGAAUACCGGUGGCGAAGGCGACUUUCUGGACUUUUACUGACGCUCAGGUACGAAAGCGUGGGGAGCAAACAGG